CCCAGCUCUGUCAGUGCCCCUCACUCUCGACCCGCAGCCCCUGCCAGCCCAGCCCUCUCCCCUAGCUCUGUCAGAGCCCCUCACUCCUGACCCGCAGCCCCUGCCAGCCCAGCCCUCCCCCCCAGCUCUGUCAGUGCCCCUCACUCUCGACCCGCAGCCCCUGCCAGCCCAGCCCCCCCAGCUCUGUCAGUGCCCCUCACUCUCGACCCGCAGCCCCUGCCAGCCCAGCCCUGUCCCCCCAGCUCUGUCAGUGCCCACCUCCCGCCCUGCAGC